GAAUGGUAACUUUAAGAUAGAAAAACUGCACUUGUGGGUGAACUGUCUUUCUCCCAUUACACUAUUCGAACACUAAAACAAUCCUUUACUUUUGAACUUGUUCUUUUUAUUCUUAGAUAGUAGAUACCAAAGAAAGCUUUAUAACAAGAAAAAAAAAAUCCUUAUAACAAGAAGCAAAAAUGUUCCUCAAAUUUCCCACCACAAAAAAUGUUCCUUAUAACAAAAAAUCCUUGUGAAAGCACUGUAGCUUAGUGGUUAAGGUUUAAAGGCUUUUAUACCCAGGUCUGGGGUUCAAAUUUCAUGCUAUGCAAUUUCUUGCAGAUUGCGCAUUAUAGGAGGUCUAGGUUUCAAUUCCCGGAGAAAGCGAUUUAUUAAACAAUUAUGCAGACUAUGAAAAAAAAGCUUACAAGGGAUCUUCAACAUGGUGUAAGUAAAUCUGGUCAGACGUAGGUCAGACGUAGGUCUUCGUAGGACGGUUCAGAUGAUGCAGUUAGGCGUAGAUCCUCUUAAGGUAUAUAGUAUUGUCGGUUGUCGAAUCAUAUAUGUAAUCUUUUCAUAAUUAUAAUAUCAUAAUAAAUCAGCGUUAAAAAAAGAAGAAAAAUCCUUACUCAAAAAUCAUAAAACAAGAUCUAUAUGGGAAAGAAACAAAAAUGGAAAACACUUUCUCAAAAAAAAAAAAAUGGACCGAAGGAAACAUAUAUAAAGUGCUUAAACAGCCACUAAGACUAAACAAUUUAAAAAUAAAAUGUAGAAGGAUGACAUGCAUAAAUCUAGAAAUGGUCUAAAUUGUUUUUUCUAAAAGAAAAGGAAUAAGUAUAUGAGUUUCAUACUGAUGUGAAGUGCAGACUACUGAAAUAUUAUCUCUUCUUUACAUGUAACUAAAGAAGGAUAAAACUAACAUCCUAUAAUAUUAUAUAAUAAAUCAAUUUUGUACAUGUAGCACUUAAUUUUUA
rnacentral:lncRNA from 1 species